UGUGGCAGCCAUUUUAAAUCUCUGGCCACCCAUAUAAAUAGAUCAUUUGCCUGCUGGCAGGGAAGGCAGCAACACUGCCUGGCUGUGAGGCUUUGUGCAUCAUCCUGGAGGAAGAAAAUAUGAAAUCACUGAAGGAGAAUCAAGACUCUAAUGACUUGGAACUAUGACACAUCUAAAAGCCUUCUAAAGUUUUAUCCAAACAGUUCCAUUUUUCCUGAAUGCUUCUAACUCCUACUCACAUCAUUUGGACAACACUAAAGCUAGAACUUUUAAGUAGAGAGGCUAUGCAUCAGUUGACAACAGGAAGACUCAAAAAGAAGUAUGGGAUGCACAAGGUUCUUGGAGCCCUAGAUGGACCCUAACCAAAACUCUAAGGCUCUAAGUGGUAAAGACUGGGCAGGGCACACAGCCCACCCUGCCUACUGAAUCAUCCAGACUGACAAGAGGAGGUGUAAAAACUCUGCCUGUGUUUCUUCUACCACACACUCCUAGCUUUACAAAAGAGAGCUUUUUUCACAGGUGGGGGUUACUGAGCCAUGAAAACUCUUGAUCACAGCUAUGAAUGCAUCAAGGCAACGUGUCAAUUCCAUGUGGUAUAAUUUAGAAAUUAAUUGGAUGGUGAAACAAACCAGCCCAAAUGAUGACUCUUUCCUCAGAUGCACAAUAUAACUGACUAUCUGAGCCUACCUGUGGUUUAAAAAUAAAGUUGUAAACUUUACAAAAUUGAGUCACACACAGGUUACUUAUUCCAAAAUGUUGUAUUUUGUUUGUUCUUGUUUUACUUCUUUAGGCUAGAAUUGUUACAUGAACCUUCUAUUUGUUUAGAUGUGGAGAGACACCACAAACUAUUAAAGUCUUAGCUAUAUCAGCAUGUAUGUAUGUAAUUAGACUGUGUAUUUUUAAACCUGUGGCCCUGCAGCAAUGGUUGAUUAGAAGAACAUGAAUUUAGCAUCUGCAGAAUAAUUGUGCCUAGGACAAUACUUGACCAAAUGUAAUUAGCUGAAUUUAGAUAAAUUCUCACUCUGCCUUUCAGCAACCUGAAUAGAAAAAUCAUACACUUCAUUGGGUAUAAAUAGGUUUCAAAAUGAACAUUUGGAUUGUAUGAGAAUAUUUUUAAAGGAUAAUAGACCUAAGGUUUUAGACUAUGUAAUAAAGUAUAGGA